CCUCCUUUUUUCUUCCGUGGGGAAUAUUGGACAAUGGGGGCAACCCUGAUCCAGCCAUGCCGCGUGUGUGAAGAAGGCCCUCGGGUUGUAAAGCACUUUCAGUGAGGAAGAACGCCUGGUGGUUAAUACCCAUCAGGAAAGACAUCACUCACAGAAGAAGCACCGGCUAACUCCGUGCCAGCAGCCGCGGUAAUACGGAGGGUGCGAGCGUUAAUCGGAAUUACUGGGCGUAAAGCGCGCGUAGGUGGCUUGAUAAGCCGGUUGUGAAAGCCCCGGGCUCAACCUGGGAACGGCAUCCGGAACUGUCAAGCUAGAGUGCAGGAGAGGAAGGUAGAAUUCCCGGUGUAGCGGUGAAAUGCGUAGAGAUCGGGAGGAAUACCAGUGGCGAAGGCGGCCUUCUGGACUGACACUGACACUGAGGUGCGAAAGCGUGGGUAGCAAACAGGAUUAGAUACCCCUGUAGUC
rnacentral:rRNA from 1 species